UCAUAGGUAGCUACCAUGCAGUCGAGCGGUAGCACAGAGAGCUUGCUCUCGGGUGACGAGCGGCGGACGGGUGAGUAAUGUCUGGGAAACUGCCUGAUGGAGGGGGAUAACUACUGGAAACGGUAGCUAAUACCGCAUAACGUCGCAAGACCAAAGUGGGGGACCUUCGGGCCUCAUGCCAUCAGAUGUGCCCAGAUGGGAUUAGCUAGUAGGUGGGGUAACGGCUCACCUAGGCGACGAUCCCUAGCUGGUCUGAGAGGAUGACCAGCCACACUGGAACUGAGACACGGUCCAGACUCCUACGGGAGGCAGCAGUGGGGAAUAUUGCACAAUGGGCGCAAGCCUGAUGCAGCCAUGCCGCGUGUAUGAAGAAGGCCUUCGGGUUGUAAAGUACUUUCAGCGGGGAGGAAGGCGAUAAGGUUAAUAACCUUGUCGAUUGACGUUACCCGCAGAAGAAGCACCGGCUAACUCCGUGCCAGCAGCCGCGGUAAUACGGAGGGUGCAAGCGUUAAUCGGAAUUACUGGGCGUAAAGCGCACGCAGGCGGUCUGUCAAGUCGGAUGUGAAAUCCCCGGGCUCAACCUGGGAACUGCAUUCGAAACUGGCAGGCUAGAGUCUUGUAGAGGGGGGUAGAAUUCCAGGUGUAGCGGUGAAAUGCGUAGAGAUCUGGAGGAAUACCGGUGGCGAAGGCGGCCCCCUGGACAAAGACUGACGCUCAGGUGCGAAAGCGUGGGGAGCAAACAGGAUUAGAUACCCUGGUAGUCCACGCCGUAAACGAUGUCGAUUUGGAGGUUGUGCCCUUGAGGCGUGGCUUCCGGAGCUAACGCGUUAAAUCGACCGCCUGGGGAGUACGGCCGCAAGGUUAAAACUCAAAUGAAUUGACGGGGGCCCGCACAAGCGGUGGAGCAUGUGGUUUAAUUCGAUGCAACGCGAAGAACCUUACCUGGUCUUGACAUCCACAGAACUUAACCAGAGAUGGGCUUGGUGCCUUCGGGAACUGUGAGACAGGUGCUGCAUGGCUGUCGUCAGCUCGUGUUGUGAAAUGUUGGGUUUAAGUCCCGCAACGAGCGCAACCCUUAUCCUUUGUGCCAGCGGGUUAGGGCCGGGACCUCAAGGAGACUGCCAGUGA
rnacentral:rRNA from 1 species